rnacentral:lncRNA from 1 species
GGGGGAGGGUGUGAUGUCCUGGACUGAGAAAACCCAAAACGAUGGCUGGGACAGCAGUGCUUGGGCAGAAUUCGAGAGCUUUGGAUGCGCACACAGUGGCUAUCAUCCCUGGACACAUUGAUGAAAGGAAAGUGUUAGGUCUUUCUUUCUUGACUUCUCGACUCACUGACCAAACUUUUUGUGACGAGGUUUGAAGUUCUGGAGAGCAAGGACGAGCUUGAUCUCAUUGGACAACAACCACCAGAACCGCUGCGGCAGUUUAACCAGCGCUUUCAGUCUUAUAUUCGUAAAUUCGUCCUGUGUGGCGACUUGAUACGGCUGUGCAUCACUUUGCCAAGUUCCAGCCUUCUUGGAUUGGUCCUUAUCAGGUACUUUCUCGUGCUGGCACUAAUUCGUAUUGGCUAGCAGAGUUGACGGGCAGGAAACCACCGAAGCCAAUCAAUGGAGUUGAUCUCAAACGGUAUUUCUUUUGACUGGUACAGUUCACGUUUCGUUUCUAUUCUUUUAAUGCUGUGAGUGUCUUUGCGAGAACUGUUUUGUUACUCACAGGCCCGAACCUGAUUCGGGAGCAGGACACUGUCUCCUGGGAUAAGUUCUGUCCCAUUCGCGAUGCGGAGACAGCUUGUUGAGGGGCACGAUCCUGUGGUACGUAAUGCUUCUCUCUCCCCUGUCUCUUGAGGUUUCCGAUCGUCACAGUUCUGAGGUGCAUUCUUUGUCUCAAAUCGCUGAGAAUGUUAAUCUGCAUUUCCUUGCUUUCUGUCAUAACUGUUACAUUUGAACUGCUUUCUAUGUUUUCUUGUUCCGUGGUCUCGUUCGUCUAGUUGUGGCCUGUCGUUAACAAUCUUUCACUGGGGAUGGCCAAAGCGCUUGGUCUCUCUGGCGUUGGAAAGUUUCAUGGCGGUUGGUUCUCGUUGACAGUUGGCCAAGUCGCUUGGUCCUUUCGGCUUGUCAAUCGACUGCCUAUGACGGGCUGCUUCAAGGAUGGAUGAGACACGGGAAAAUUUGUGUGAUGCCUUUCUGUGCUUAUUGUCUUUCUUUCAUACCAUUGCCUCGGAGCUUGAACAUCGAUGCUACCUCAGAAUCUUUGACUUUGGACCUUCAAUCAUCUCGAAAGGGAAACUGAUUGCGGUGCUCCUGGCUCAUGUGGAGUGGUGCCCCACUUGAGUACCUUGUGGCUCAUUGGUCCUCGCCCUUCCUAGGGGCUUGGGCCUUCCCUUCGGGAUGGAAGUGGGGGGUAGAGAUACCCAUACCGAGCCGUUAGGCCACAGUGUUUCACCCCAACGUCCCGAAGCAAGUGCUGCACCCAAGGCUUGGGAUUUAAAGGGUCCCAUGAUCAAGUCUUGUGGUACCAAGGGGUGUUAGGAAUCUGGAGGCUUGGUGUGCUUGGCUGCUUAUGCCUGCGGGGAGUGUAGCCGAACCUUAAGUCCAGUCUAACCCGGGGAGGGGGAUUGGGAGAGAUUUGGGACUCAUUCGCCCCUUGAGAGUUGCACACCAUCAACACUGAAUCUCUUAGUAUCUGUGCACUUGGGACGUGCUUUCCCCAGUGAGUUGCCAAACUGGUACAAUCCGAAAACGUACGGGAGAGUGUUAUAAGAGAGUUUAGGGUAGACAUUCUUUGGAUGAUGUUAGUGCAGAGGUCAUGAAGGGAACCGCCAUGGAGAUGUGCUCCAGGUCGAGAUAGCUUCGUGUCGGCUGGAUAUGCAGUGGAAGUCGAGAUAGCUUUGUGUCGGCUGGAUAUGCAGUGGAAUGACUCCAGCAGUUGAAGCCUGGAGAAUCUUUUUGUGGUUGAGGAACUAUAUUUGUAAUGAAGAGCAAGAGUCCAAAUCUGCAUCAUUUAUGACAAAAAAUCAAUUAUAAUAGAAUUUGAUUACAAGCAAAAUGGUGAAAGGGCUGAAAGAAAAUCGAAACUACUACAAUGCUACUUUAUGCAAGUAGACUAGCAUAUCAUCAACCAUUUUAGGGUUGAUCAUUAUUUAACCAAAAAAGUUUGUAAAUAUAUUACUCACAAUCACUAAGUUAUAAAUUAAAAAUUGAUGAACAAUUAACCUGAAUAUUUAUUGAUGCUAAAGAUUGGACAAAACGAGAUCAGGACAAUAUAUUAUUUUUGUAUUAAAUUUUUCCAUUUGUAUCAACUUCUAAACUCAAGUUGUAUAAACUAUAACUUAAAAAUAGUUAUAAGUUUCCCACCUAAUUUCAUUUAACUCUAAAAUUCAUUGAGUUAAAUUAAAUUUUAGCAUUAUUGUUUAUCUUCUAUAUUUUAUAAAAUACAUUUAAAAUUCAGUAAGUGGUGUAAAAUACAGUUUAAUAUGUAAACACAUAUUAGGCAAUUCUACAAGGCACAAAACAAAAAUCCUCAGUUUAUAUUAACCAAAUAAAUAAGUAAUUUAUAUUUAAGUUAACAUAUAACUUAAUAAACUAAUAAAUAAAAAAUUUUAGUUUUUGAAUUAGAUAUUUGUAAGUUUUAAAACUAAAUCUGAUCUACAUUCCAUUCAAAUAUAUCAUAUCAAUAAAUAUUUUUCUAACACUAUUUUGUAUUGUUUCAAGUUGAAUAUAUCUAUAUUUGUAGACACAAAUAUUAAUCUUUUAGCACCUGAUUAUUGUUGAAUAUCCAAAUACUAAUUCAAACACUUUUAAAAGGAGCUUUAGGUCACCAAGGGUAGUAAUAUGCUUUUUGCAAGCUAGGAAUAAUAGAAAUUGUUACCGUCACACUUGAGAUCAUGAAAUGCAAAGAUCCUAUUUGGAAAAGGAUGUCUUUUGAAUUCAAUAACAUGCUUAUUAGCCAUCUUAAGACUUGAUAGCUUGCAGGGAUAAUAUUCCAAAUUAUUGACAGUAACCAUAAUUGUGCAGCUUCUUUUGGAUGUCAAUAGACAUGUCUUAGCCUGCCAAAAGAUCAAUAUAUAAGUUUGUUAAAAUUUUGCCUUCAACUCCACUUUCACUUGCUUUGUCAUGUUUGAAUGUAGACUUAGAUAAUUUUUUGUCCAAAAGUAGAACUUUGUUCAUGACAUCAAAGAACUAUAGUUUUUGGUAAAGUUGAGUGAGGAUGAUAUCUGACAAUAUUAUUGUGAUGAUCUUGCAAUAUUUAUAGACUCAAAAUGAUGGUAUAAUCUAGUUCAACAACCCAAUCAAUUUUAUGUUUAUGAUGUGCUAUAAGGUAUGUCUUUCCUUCACUUUAUAAGGGAUUAUUUAUAUUUUUUUUGUUUCUAUCCUUUAGUAAAGGUCAAGCAAGAUGUAUAUGAACUUGUGUAUAUGGAGAAGAGUUGGGAAGAGCUCUUGGCUGAGUUUUUAUAAAUUGAGUAUAAAAUUCAAUAUGUAAAGUCUUCAAAGUUGAAGACACUAGUAUGCAUUACAAACAAUCAUAGGCCAAAGGAGUAGCUAAAGAGUAUAGCUAAACUUUAUACUCAUAAAUAUAAAUUUCUUAUUAUGUGCUUCAUUUUUCUCAAUUACACAUAUUGCUUUUGUAGUGAACAAAACUUUAGAUGAUAUGAUUUACAAUAUCACAAAAUUGAUUUCCAUACAAAUAACAGAUAGAGACUCUAAAGUUCCCCAAUGUCUACUUGAUGAACAGAGAAAAAAGGCUGUCAUAAGUAUUUGAGAACAUGAUAAGCAGGGUUAUCUAUAUCAUGCAAAUUGUGAGCAGGGUCUUGGGAUAUUUAAUAUCAAAGAGUGGGGCUCUUGGGGAAAGUUGUAGUUCUCAAUUUCUCAUGAAAGUGUGAAUUUACAAGGAAGUGUGGUGGAUUGUAAGCAAUUAAAGAGAAUGACUUGAGAAAUAAUCUAUAAAGGUUCAAAUAUAAAGGGAAAACCCAUGAAUAAAAGUGCACCCUUUUUUCCAAUUGAUUAAAGGUCUUGGGUUAUUUGGAGUUAAAUGUCUUUAGGUUUGAAUAGUACUGGGCUAAGUGACCUCAUGGGAAGUUCAAAUUCAAUUCAAUGACGAUGCAAGUGACAAUGGAGAUGAGGAUAAGGAAAUUCCAAAUCAAACUCAUAUUCCACCACCUGAUAACCAGGAUCAAGCUCUAAUUUCACUACCAAAUGAUUAUAUGAUAGUAGGGUUUCUUAUUCAUAUAACUCUUCUAUAACUGAUAACAUAUCAAGGCAUUGUGGGUGUCUUCAUUGGCUCCUAUAGUAAAUUGCUGAUAUCUUUCACAAAAGACGACAUGAACAUGGAAAUACAACACUAGUUUGACCAUUAGUGCUAAAAGGUAUAAAAACCAUUGCAAACUUCAUUCUCUUCAACUUUCCAAAUAGUUUUCAAAUAUUGAUGGGAAAGUUGAGGACUAGAAACUUUCUCACACCUAACCACUUGUGUGAUAUAUUCUUCUUGUCAUAAACAUUUCUAUACGAAGUUGGCUAUAUAAUUUUUAUCUUACUAAAUGACCCCAACUGGAUGUAUGAGCUUAUGAUGUGUGUAGCAAAAGUUUAUUUCAAGUCAUUCUCCUCCAAAUGCAUCAUGGAUCCUAUUAACAUCAAUAUUAAGGGCAUUCAAAGUAAGUGAGUAAGUAUUUCAUAUUUUUAUUUAAUUUCUAAACUUUCUCAUUUUCCAAGUUAUGAUGUGAACUGUUGCAAAUAUGACUUUAGGUAUCAAAAGUUACCUGUUAGUUAAUCCUUGUGGAUGUUCUUUCCUUACUACCAUGAUAGCAAGAGGUCAAUAUUGUUGGACCCUUUUUUUUAAUCUCCGCCUAAGGUAGUUAGGAAAUUGGUCUUUGCAUAUGCACUUGACUAGAUGAGCAUCAGGACAGAAUUCCUAAGUGCUAUUAGUAAAAUAUAUUUGACUUAGUUAAAGAAACUCAUUCAUUGACUUGCACUUACUAGUGUUGGGAAACCCCUAUGAUAUUAAGCUUGGUCCCUCAAUAUUUGUCAGAUGAUAGUUUACCGUGUUUACCAAACACCCUUGCUAUCAUACACUUUGUGUUAAUACCAUUCAGUGAAACGUGUAUAUACAUUCCCCAAUGUCCUGUAGGGAUUAAUACAAAAACCAGGCAUGCUGCCCAAAGGUCAUGCUAUCUAGUGGAGAUCUCCUUCAUCUAAAGUGAGACUAAGCCUACAGUACAAGCGGCUACUGUUGCCUCCAUUGUAUCGCAUCCAGAUCUAAGUCCCCCCUUUGUGUUGACUGCAAGAUUGACUCCGGGGGGUGCCAUCUCCAAUGAACCUUAUUGUGGUCUCCUUCACCGAAACAUGGUAGCCAUGCUUUUUGCCACUCCUCGAGCCUCUCAAGCUUCCCCCUGUCUUGGAGGAUAGCAUGGUGAAGUCGUACUGCCCCCAAUGUAAGUCUCCACCAUUCUGCUAGUACCUGUGAUACUUUGACCUAUGUCCCGUCAAAGUGCACCCAGUUACGUGCUUCCCAAAGGGCUUGGACUCUCAUCACACGCCAUACCACCCAUCAAGCAUGGCCAAGUGCCUCCCACACGGGGACUCCUAUCUCCACCCCAGUCAUGUCCUAGUGGACCUGAAUCCCCCAACCGUGUCGUCCUUUGCACCUGAUGUGUUGCAGGGCUGGGCCCUAAGCAGGACCCCUCGCUCCCUCAAACCAGUGGAGCACAUCCCCACUGUGGGCCUCAAAAUCCUGUGUAAUGCCUAGCUCUUUCCCUACCUUAAUGAUCUGGCACCACACCUCCUUUGUAGUGUCGCACUCCCACAAUGCAUGCUUGACUGUCUCAAUUUCACCACACUCCUUGCACGUGCAACUCACGUCAUCCUGGAAUUGCUGUCCAACUGAGAGACCAUUAUUCGCUACCAACCAGGAGGUGACUUUCACUUUUUUCCUGCAUGGGCAGCUUCUAAAAGUGAAUUGUGUUGUCCACCACUUGCUCCGUGUCAACCCCCUGUGCUAUCCACUUUUGCCAUAGCUUUGGAAUCUCCUCUCUUGCCUCCUCCCAUGAUGUCAGUAGUCCAUUCCACGCUUCCUUGACCGCACAGGAGAAAAAGCUUCCCAUCCCUCGUCACCAUGUGGCAGGGUCCCAGUCCAGAUCUUCAAGCAGCUGCUGUCACCACCAUAUCAGUGGUCCAUCACCCUCUAGCAAGUCUUCUGAUUCCACCACGUCUAGCCUCUUGGGUGACUGCCUAAGCACACGAAUCCUCCCACAUACCUCAUUGUUCGUGACGUCUGGCAUCACUUGUCUCUCAGCCGUUGGGAGGAGCAUAUCUCCUCUUGUGACGCAAAAAGGCCAUCCUAUGUUGUGCUCUGGUGCAGUGACGAACCACACCUCGACAUCCCCUUCUUCCCAUGCUGGUGUAGGUGUAGUGAAUGAUUGAGUCCACUUCCCCAAUGGAUGUCGCACUGCAUCGUGCUCCUCCCACUAUGUUUGCUACUGAAUUGCCACAAAGUCCCCUGCUUUAAGGCAUCUUCUCGGCCACUUCGUCCCUGCUUUCGUGUCGUUCACCACCUGGAGGAGUCGCAGAACGUCUAGCAGGAUGUUGCAUCGCUUCCAAGGUCCAAAAACUUGAGUCCUUCUUGCUGUUCACCACCAAUCCCUGUCGAUCAUUCCCGCCAGUUGUUUCAUGGUCCAAAAGCCAUUUGCAUGCAUUUUUCUCCAGAUUGUGUGGUGAGUCUCUUGUCCCAGUGUCACACCUCCCACUUUGAACAGUGCAUUGAAAAACAGAGACUGGUUAAGCCACUCCUCGGCCCUGGUCGGUGGUACUUGCUCCAGCGGAAAGGCUUUCCACAGUCGGUGAAGGCUCUGGAUGAAGUUGCCCCCUUUCACUACUUGAGUUGGUCCUUUUACAAAGAGCCACCAUGGGUCCUCCUCCCAGGGUUUGGCUGCAUUGUGUUUGGGGUGUAUCGCUAGGAGGCUCUGCUAGAACAUGAGUCACCACGGCUGUCUCCCCUGUUGCAGUCCCAUAAGAAAAAUCUUGUACCUCAACACCUUCGCCAUGUCGCUGGGGUCAAUGAUCCCGAGCCCUCCUAGGAUGCACAGCCUCGCUGUAGACUGCCAUGCCACCUUGGCCAUGGUUUGCCCUGUAACCAAUGCUCCACGCCAUACGUAGGUUCGCACCAUCUAUCGCACCUUCUACAAUGUAGUUUCCAACACCGGCCAAAUCGAGAGGUGGUACCAGAUGUUAGGGAGGAUCAUGCCCUUGACUACUACGAUCCAAGCUGGGAGCCCAAGUUUCCUCAGUGUUCAUUUCUGAACUGCAGUCUAGAUCCUCCUGAGUAGUGUAUCAUCCUGUGUGGCCACACUGUACUGGACCCCAACCUGGAUGCUGAGGUACCGAGUGUCUUUGCCACUAAUAUCCUAUCUCUUGUCCCCAAGCCUCGAUGCCUGGCUUUCCCCAGUUCACUCCUACUAACUUGUUCCAGUUUAUAGCUACUCCCGCUGCCAUGUUGAAGAUCUUGAGCUUGGACCUUGCUGCGUCCAGGUUCCUUGGGGUGGCGAGCAGGAAAAGUGCAAUAUCAUCUGCAAAUGCCCCAUCCUACAACUCUUGUGUCACGACUUGAGUUCCCAGGAGUUGUAGUUGUUCAGAGGGCAGCACCAGGCCUUUUAUAUCCCCUCCAUGUACGAGGAAAGAGCCCAGUGUCUCUGCUACUAUCAAAAACAGGUAUAUGGGUAUGUAAUUAUCUUUUUUUUCUGCCAUCAAACAUCUUCUGUCUUGGGGAAUUGGAAGCUUGGCAAGGCCGCCUUGGGAGAGAACGUCAAGACACAGAUCGUACCUUCAACUUGAGCUCUUCAAGCUCUACGAAUUCGGUAAGCUUAAACUCUUGUAUUGCAGUUGUUUGUUGAUUUUUCUUUUUUGUAUAUAGAGGCCUGUCCCUUCUGUAGACGAGUGAGAGAAGCAUUGACAGAGCUCGAUCUUUCUGCCGAGGUAGUGUCUCGUGGAAGUUGCAGAUGGAAACUUUUUCAAUCUUUGUGUAGGUGUAUCCGUGCCCAAAAGGAUCUCGAGUCCAUCGUGCGUUUGUGAAAGCGUCUGGAGGCAAAGAGCAGUAAGUGAUACACUCUUGUCUGCAACAGAUUCUCAUCGAAUAUGACAGGUUUCCAUUUCUCUUGGAUCCAAACACCGGCGUGUCAAUGGAUGAGAGCUGUGAGUAAUUUUUCUUUUCAUCACAAUCAGCUUGCAUGAAUGCCUCUGGCAGCCGAUAUUGUCAACUACUUGUUCCAGGAAUAUGGUGAGAGAAGAAGGCCAACAUUCGGGAUUUUAGAAAGGUAACAAGUUUUACUGAAGUGUAAACUCUUCGGUAUUUCAUCAUAAUGUGUUCCAGCACCUUUAGUCACUGGCUGGGUUCCGACGAUAAUACGAGCAGGGCGAGGCAUGUCAUUGUGGAAUGGAGCAUUGCCAGAUCCUCCACAGAAGCUCCUUGAGCUCUACUCAAACGAGAACAACCAGAUAAAGCGCUGUGUUUUCAAAGAAUUCUAAAAGUUUUUUGGUAGUUUGCAAGGCUCGUAAGAGAAGCCCUGUGCGAGCUGGAACUUCCUUACAUCCUCUGGAACAUGGGCAAAGGGUCACUUAAUUGCUCCAAGCUCAAGCAAAUUUCGGGUUCAACACAGGUAACCUUUUGAUCUAUUUUUCCCUUCAUUAUCAUUGUCAAGAACAGGUUCCAUAUCUGGUUGAUCCCAACACCGGCAUACAAAUGGCAGAGUCUCUUGACAUAAUCCGCUAUCUCUUCGCUAACUAUAAUUCGAAGUGAUGUUGAUGGAGAGUUUCCUUGGAUUGAUCAGCUAUCAUCGUGUUUGGUACUAAUAGUGUAUCGAGCUUUACUCCCAAGAACAGCAUAGGAAAUGGCAGUUGCUACCAUCAGCAAACGGAGGUACCAGCUAAACCGCAGUGUUCCCACAACUAUGGACUGGUUGGCUUUCUAGAACGUACGAAGGAGUGUACGGGGUGAUCUGGACUAGAGAGAGAAAGAGUUUAGGGUAGGCAUUCCUUUUGUACCCCAUUUUCAAGAAAAGAGGCAUUUGGCGCAUCACCUGGUCGCUUUUCUGCUACCGCCGGGAACGAGCUCAAGGUUGGGAGGUAUGGGUUAUGAUGUGGGGAUCGUUCGUGAUUUGGGGUCGUGUCCUUCUUGGUAGGAAGAGAGGAAAUUCUGCUUCGCAUGCAUCCAGGAUGUCCCUGGGGGGAGGGUGUGAUGUCCUGGACUGAGAAAACCCAAAACCAUGGCUGGGACAGCAGUUCUUGGGCAGAAUUUGAGAGCCUUGCAUGCGCACACAGUGGCUAUCAUCCUGUUUAAGUCUUUCUUUCUUGACUUCUCGACUCACUGACCAAACUUUUUGUGACGAGGUUUGAAGUUCUGGAGAGCAAGG